CAAACGACUGGGUCCUUUCCAUAGAUACAGAACAAGACUGAAUGACUGGGUGGUUUCUCUUGCAACGGAACUGAUAGAACAAACGACCAGUCGGCUUGGGUAGCAACCUUAGAUUUGUGUCGGGACUAUAUCUUGUGGAAGGAUGAAAUGACAAAUCUUCAUUCAGUUGGACACCUGACGAGGUCCAUGGUCUCCUUGUUCACCAACCAGGAACUUUAGGGUCUGAGGCGGUAAAUUCAUCUACUAUGCUGCUGGAGCCGACUCAACCUGAUUGCCCUGUAGAAGAGGAACAUUCUGGUAAGUUAUCUAGUUAGUACAGUCUUUCUCAACCCUUUUUUGUACCAGAUUAGCCAGAUUUGUUACUCUUCCUUGGUGGACUGCUUGGAUUUAAACUAGCUUACUAUUACUAGCCUACUGACUCAAUGUCUGCUAACCAUCUGAGGGACUGGCCAGUAACAGCUAGAAGUUGAGAAACACUUUGUUUCUGUCUGCUUUUAACUGAUGUGGUUCUUUCACAGAGGAAUCUGGAUACCACUGGUCGUCAAAGGAGGUUCAGGCAUUGUUAACACUCUGGGCAGAUGGUAGUGUUCAGAAGCAGCUUCUCUCCUAUAAAAACGAGCACGUCUAUACCAAAUUGAGUUCAGAGCUUGCUGCCUUCGGAUUUAACAAGACAUCUAAACAGUGCAGAGACAAACUAAAAAAUCUGAAACAGGAAUACAAAAAAAAUCAAGGAUAACAAUAGUGGUUCCAACCAUCAUGGAGAAAGAUGGUUUGCCAUCAUCGAUAGUGUCCUCUGUCACUAACCAAGUACUUUGGAGUCUGGGAUGAUACAUUCAGAUCCAAAGCCUUUGGAAUCGACUCAACCUGAUUCCCCUCAAGAAAUUGAGGAUUCUGGUUGGUUGUCUCGUACGGCAUCUCGUACACGUUUUUUACACAGGAACUUGCCUGUUACCUCAAGCUCGGUUGUUAAUAUCGAUUAUGUGAGAACUGUCAAUUGAGCUGUUGCUUCCACAGAUCAAUCUGCAUCCAGUUGGACACCUGAUGAGGUCCAUGGACUCCUUGGUCACCAACCAGGAACUUCAGGGGCUAAGGUGAUAAAUUCUGCUACUAUGCUGCUGGAGUUGACUCAAGCGUAUUCCCUGUAAAAGAGGAACCUUAUGGUCCCGGUUUACCUCUAUCCUCACUGCGUCUCCAUGCUCCACCAUUACACUUGAUGUCAGCAUUCAUGUGGCAAGUGGCUCAGCAGUGUCAUGACGUUGCCCUCUUUGGGUACAGCGAGCACCAUCCCCCUCUCCCUCUCUAUACCCCUUUCACCAAGCUCUGUAAGAGAGGUCGUAAAUUCCUAGAGAAGAUCCUGCCUCAUGGCUAGACAGUAUAGAGAGAGUGAGUUUCAUAGAGAGAACAAAGGAAUUUCUUCCACCUCACAGAACUGAGAACCGAACGACAUUUAUGUUCUGGAGAAUGUAUAACAGAUCAGUGAAGAAUCCAGCUACGAACUGGUCCAUUUGGUACAAUUUUGUGAAACUCAUGGGAGAGACAUUACCAUAACGCUGUUUAUACAAUAGCCUCAGCUAUGAGGCGUACAUCUAAUUGUUGUAUAAAAUGAAUGAGUGGGGAUGGAACUGUUUGUGAAAUUGUGUAAUGUGAUUUUGGACUGUUUAAUGAAGGAAACUCCAAUUCCCUUUGGAGUUUAACUAAAUCAGAGGACCACCCAUGAGAACAGUUAUGGUCUGGCGUCAUGGGACAGACCCUUUUCUGCUCUUCCGAAUAAAACCCCCACCUAGGUUUUCUAUCACCAGACCAGCUUACCUCGAUAACGAGAGGGCCAAGGUUUGAGAGGAGACCAGCUUACCUCGAUAACGAGAGGGCCAAGAUUUGAGAGGAGACCAGGUUACCUCGAUAACGAGAGGGCCAAGGCUUGAGAGGAGACCAGCUUACCUCGAUAACGAGAGGGCCAAGGUUUGAGAGAAGACCGAGCUUACCUCAAUUACGAGAUGGCUAUAGGUUGUAGACCAUGCAUUUCUUUUGCUGAACUUUUAACCAUACCACGUGGUUAACCUCUAUGGGCUAGGUGGGACGUGCGUCCCACCUACGUAACAGCCACUGCCAGCCUGUGGCGCGAUUUUCAAAACCUUAAAAAUCCUAUUACUUCAAUUUCUCAAACAUAUGACUAUUUUACAGCCAUUUAAAGACAAGACUCUCGUUAAUCUAACCACACUGUCCGAUUUCAAAAAGGCUUUACAACGAAAGCAAAACAUUAGAUUAUGUCAGCAGAGUACCAAGCCAGAAAUAAUCAGACACCCAUUUUUCAAGCCAGCAUAUAAUGUCACCAAAACCCAGAAGACAGCUAAAUGCAGCACUCACCUUUGAUGAUCUUCAUCAGAUGACAACCCUAGGACAUUAUGUUAUACAAUACAUGCAUGUUUUGUUCAAUCAAG
rnacentral:lncRNA from 1 species